CUGGCUCAGAUUGAACGCUGCGGCAGGCCUAACACAUGCAAGUCGAACGGUAACAGGAAGAAGCUUGCUCUUGCUGACGAGUGGCGGACGGGUGAGUAAUGUCUGGGAAACUGCCUGAUGGAGGGGGAUAACUACUGGAAACGGUAGCUAAUACCGCAUAACGUCGCAAGACCAAAGAGGGGGACCUUCGGGCCUCUUGCCAUCGGAUGUGCCCAGAUGGGAUUAGCUAGUAGGUGGGGUAACGGCUCACCUAGGCGACGAUCCCUAGCUGGUCUGAGAGGAUGACCAGCCACACUGGAACUGAGACACGGUCCAGACUCCUACGGGAGGCAGCAGUGGGGAAUAUUGCACAAUGGGCGCAAGCCUGAUGCAGCCAUGCCGCCGUGUAUGAAGAAGGCCUUCGGGUUGUAAAGUACUUUCAGCGGGGAGGAAGGGAGUAAAGUUAAUACCUUUGCUCAUUGACGUUACCCGCAGAAGAAGCACCGGCUAACUCCGUGCCAGCCGCUGC
rnacentral:rRNA from 1 species